rnacentral:rRNA from 1 species
AGCCAGACUCCUACGGGAGGCAGCAGUGGGGAAUAUUGCACAAUGGGGGGAACCCUGAUGCAGCGACGCCGCGUGGGUGAAGGAGCACCUCGGUGCGUAAAGCCCUAUCGGCAGGGAAGAAACAGACGGUACCUGACUAAGAAGCCCCGGCUAACUACGUGCCAGCAGCCGCGGUAAUACGGAGGAUGCGAGCGUUAUCCGGAUUUAUUGGGUUUAAAGGGUGCGUAGGCGGGCAUUUAAGCCGGCGGUCAAAUGUCGGGGCUCAACCCCGGCCUGCCGUCGGAACUGGGUGCCUUGAGUGGGCGAGAAGUAUGCGGAAUGCGUGGUGUAGCGGUGAAAUGCAUAGAUAUCACGCAGAACCCCGAUUGCGAAGGCAGCAUACCGGCGCCCUACUGACGCUGAGGCACGAAAGUGCGGGUAUCGAACAGGAUUAGAUACCCGCGUAU